rnacentral:tRNA from 1 species
GGUUUCCUGGCCCAAUGGUAAGGCGUCUGACUACGAUCUUAUGGAUUGAAUCAGGAGUUUGUCGGUUCGAGUCCGGCGGAGAUCA